rnacentral:lncRNA from 1 species
UGCAUAUUUUCCUAGGAACGUGAAGUGAGGCGGCCAUCUCUGUCGGCGCCGGAAGUAUUAAGGAGGUCCAUUGGGAGGUGGCUGCUGAGUUUGCUGCAUUGUGUGUUUGUUUGUUUGAGAGCGGUCCAGGAAUCUCCUAGAUGGAAUCCUGACAAUGGACAAGCAUUUACACAUGAAAGGAAAGGAUGGAGAGAAGGAGCGAGAAGGAGGGAGAGAAGGAGCAGAGGGAGGUGGAGAGUGCUCUACCAUUCCUCUCUGUUACCAUGGGGAUCAACUUGAUGCCACUCCAGGCUUGCCAUUGGCUGGAGAGGGUUCCAUUUGAUUUUGACUUUCCACGCUUUCUAAGGGAAGGAUGGACAGACUACUUCAACUCUCUCAGACGCCCCCCGUGGGAAUCAAACCCUGGCGUUGCACACACCAUGCUGGCGUUGCAAACACCAUGCUCUACCAACUGAGCCACAGGGAAGGCCAACUGAGCCACAGAUGGACUCCAAUCUCAAGAAUGAUCAAUGGAAACAGGAGGCACCUGAGCAAAUGUUUUUGUCUCAUAGCAAAGGGGCUGAAUACUUAUGUGAAUAAGCACCUACUUCAGAUCUCAUCUCUCUCCCCAGACAGCUCAGUUCUACCUAAUGUCCUGAGAGAAGACAGAAGAGUGCAUCCUAUUCACAUCAGUCACUCAGGCCAAGCAAAGUCCAUUGCAAUGAUUCUUUAACGCACAAGAACCUUGAGGGCAGAGGGGAGAAAUAGAGAGAAUGAGAAAAAA